GACAGAGGCCUCAAGCGUUUAGGCGGAAUCACUGGGCUUAAAGCGUGUGUAGGCGGAUCGUUAAGUGUCUUGUGAAAUCCCACGGCUCACCCGUGGAACGGCUGGGCAUACUGGCGAUCUUGGGCCAACUAGGGGCAACUGGAACAAGCGGUGGAGCGGUGAAAUGCGUAGAUAUCGCUUGGAACGCCGAAGGUGAAAACAGGUUGCUGGGGUUGUGCCGACGCGUGAGACACGAAAGCCAGGGGAGCAAACGGG
rnacentral:rRNA from 1 species